UACGAAGGGUGCAAACGUUGCUCGGAAUUAUUGGGCGUAAAGCGCACGUAGGCGGCCUUGUAAGUCGGAUGUGAAAUCCCUCGGCUUAACCGAGGACGUGCAUCCGAAACUGUGAGGCUCGAGUAUGGAAGAGGGUCGCAGAAUUCCCGGUGUAGAGGUGAAAUUCGUAGAUAUCGGGAGGAAUACCAGUGGCGAAGGCGGCGACCUGGGCCAAUACUGACGCUGAGGUGCGAAAGCGUGGGGAGCGAACAGG
rnacentral:rRNA from 1 species